GCGAGUGAAGAGGGAAGAGCUCAAAUUUGAAAUCUGGCGGUCUCAGGCCGUCCGAGUUGUAAUCUAGAGAGGUGUUUUCCGUGCCGGACCGUGUACAAGUCCCUUGGAACAGGGCGUCAUAGAGGGUGAGAAUCCCGUCCAUGACACGGACUCCCGGUGCUCUGUGAUACACCUUCGAAGAGUCGAGUUGUUUGGGAAUGCAGCUCAAAACGGGUGGUAAAUUCCAUCUAAAGCUAAAUACAGGCGAGAGACCGAUAGCGAACAAGUACCGUGAGGGAAAGAUGAAAAGAACUUUGGAAAGAGAGUUAAACAGUACGUGAAAUUGUUGAAAGGGAAACGCUUGAAGUCAGUCGCGUCUGCCAGGACUCAGCCUUGCUUCUGCUUGGUGCACUUCCUGGUGGAUGGGCCAGCAUCGAUUUUGGCCGCCGGAAAAGGGCGGGAGGAAUGUGGCAGCUUGCUGUGUUAUAGCCUCCCGUCGUACACGGUGGUUGGGAUCGAGGAAUGCAGCACGCCUUUUGGUCGGGGUUCGCCCACGCCACGUGCUUAGGAUGCUGGCGUAAUGGCUUUAAACGACCCGUCUUGAAACACGGACCAAGGAGUCUAACAUGCCUGCGAGUGUUUGGGUGUCAAACCCAGGCGCGUAAUGAAAGUGAAAAGUUGGGACUCUUUAGUGAGGCACCGACGCCCGAUCCUGACGUUUUCUGACGGAUUUGAGGCAGAGCAUGUAUGUUGGGACCCGAAAGAUGGUGAACUAUGCCUGAAUAGGGUGAAGCCAGAGGAAACUCUGG
rnacentral:rRNA from 2 species